rnacentral:lncRNA from 1 species
UCAGAAUCUGAAAUAACCAAACCUCUUUUCGCCAUUUCUUUCCAGACCCAUUUUAAUGGAGUUCUUACUUCAGCAAUGUCAGUCUUGACUUCUUCUCCCAUACCUUCGCUAACCAUAUUCACCCCCUUAUCUGCGUGAUUAGGUAACGGAUUCUUUGCGUUAGGUGAGUCGUCAAGUUUGACAACACCUAAAUUGAUAAGUCCUUCUACUACCUUCUUGAAGGCAGUACAAUUUUCUAUCGAGU